UAAAGAUUUUCGUUUCAGGUGGUGCUUUACCUGGUACGUUCGUUCGCAGACGGCUUUCCUGGACCGUGUGGACUCUGUGGUGACAGUGAUGCAGACCCAUGUGAUGACAGUCUAGAAGAAGGAGAUGAGUGCGCAGAAGGCAAAACUUGUCAGGAAUGUUACGUAAGCGGUGAAAAAACCUGCAAUCUGGUUUGUAGUCAAACUGAUGACAGCUCCGAAGAAAAAUAACGUAAAGAACCUGAUAUAACAAAGGUUUAAAGAGACAUUUUACCAGAGUUAUGCUUUUGUCUGAAAUAUAGAAAUAGCUUUCAUUUGAUAUAUCAACAGUAAAGAGAAAGUAUUUAUUUUGUUAUUUGCAAUGUAUAAUAUAUAAGCUCUGCAGAGUUCUGUAAAAAGAUGUUUUAGUGAAUUAGACACACAGUAGUAAUGUGACGUAAACCCUAAAUGAACUACGUUGUCUUCUGUAUCAAACUUAAUAACCUUGUUUUUAAAAUUAUGUUUUAGAUGUAGCCUAUGUUUAUUCAUCAUGUGUUUAAUGUUUGUGCAUAAAGAGCUAGUAGUCCUCUCGCAAUAUACCAUCGAUGAAUGAUAUUUAUUUUACUGGUCUUCUGGAAUGACCAAUAUCUGACAAACCUGUUGUACAAAGGACAAA